CUGUACGUUCAUCCACACAACUGCCCCGACGGAUCCAGCGAGUGAAACCCGGAGGAAGUGCUGACGGACGGCCGUCACCGGCGCUGCGGACGCCUCUCCCAGCUCCAGUUAUGACGGCGAUCCAUCAAGCGCCUAACCCAGUUAGGGGUGAGUCGCCUCAGACAGUGACCUCAGAUGAGAUUAGCCCGAAACGAUCGGGUAUAUCUGGACCCAACGAACCAGACUGUAUUAUUAGAACGGCUCAGUCUCCAGCAAGCUAAUCACUUUUUGUUGUUGUUGUAUCUCUGGAGCGAAGCGCCCUGCCGCGGCAUCCGACGGCGUCCCGGCCGGCCGGCCGUGAGUCAGCGCCGCGACCUGGAUGUCAGCCGCCGCUGGGACCAGAACACGCCUGCCACGCACUGCGAUUUGUAGAGCUCAGCAGGAAAUCGCUGCUCGCCGUGCGUCACUCCGGCCGGCGCUGGUCAACAGCAAGGUGACAGCAGCCGGUCGGGAUCUGUUUACUUCAACGCGACCGUAGGAACCGAGAGACGCGCUCCGGCCCGUCCUGCUGCUCUGGAAUCGGAGGAGACGUUUUCACAACCUACUGACGAAGUGAAACACCGAAAAGAUCACACUGGAGAACGAGUGGUGACAGUCCAGCAUGCUGGUGGAAAACAGGCGCGACUCCUCCACGUCGAGAGGAGGAGGAGGAUGUGACCCGGUGACCUCUCAUCAGAGGGUCACCUGGGAAGGCCGACCGGGAGUAGGCUCCCAGGUCGCUCCAGGACUCUGGCAGCGGACUGCGAGGGAUGGAUGGAUGAAUACAGCUCACUUUGACUUUGGCUAAAAAAGGAAACGUCUUAUCUCACCGAGUUCAGGGUGUGAACGUCUCUCCCCCCCUUCAGCGAUUUCACAUGACAACGAGGAAUCCCUGGAAUUUUGGGAGUUUCAGUUUCAGGCUGAGAAGCUCGCGGCACUUUUCCUCAGGCACUCGGGAGGUCAGCCCCGCUUUCAUGUCUCCCACUUCCUCUUUCUAAAUACGUCUCCAGGAAGUACAGACUCAAUCAAAAAGCUGCAUUUACACGCAGGGCUUGUUUACAGAAACACAAGUGAAACAAAGAGGAGCCCGAUGAGGGAAUUUAAUGGACACAAUAACAGCAGCUUUGAU